UACGGGGGGAGCAAGCGUUGUUCGGAUUUACUGGGCGUAAAGGGCGCGUAGGCGGCCACCGCAAGUCACUUGUGAAAUCUCCGGGCUUAACCCGGAAAGGUCAACUGAUACUGCGGGGCUAGAGUGCAGAAGGGGCAACUGGAAUUCUCGGUGUAGCGGUGAAAUGCGUAGAUAUCGAGAGGAACACCUGCGGCGAAGGCGGGUUGCUGGGCUGACACUGACGCUGAUGUGCGGAAGCUAGGGGAGCGAACGGG
rnacentral:rRNA from 1 species